CUACGGGUCGCUGCAGUGGGGAAUAUUGGACAAUGGGGGAAACCCUGAUCCAGCAAUGCCGCCUGUGUGAAGAAGGCCUGCGGGUUGUAAAGCACUUUCGGUUGGGAGGACUGCUUCUAGCACUAAUAUUGUUGGAAGUUGACGUUACCUUCAGAAGAAGCACCGGCUAACUCCGUGCCAGCAGCCGCGGAAAUACGGAGGGUGCAAGCGUUAAUCGGAAUUACUGGGCGUAAAGCGCGCGUAGGCGGCUAGAUCAGUCGGGUGUGAAAGCCCCGGGCUUAACCUGGGAACUGCAUCCGAUACUGUCUAGCUUGAGUACAGGAGAGGAGAGUGGAAUUCCACAUGUAGCGGUGAAAUGCGUAGAUAUGUGGAGGAACACCAAUGGCGAAGGCAGCUCUCUGGCCUGAUACUGACGCUGAGGUGCGAAAGCGUGGGGAGCAAACAGGAUUAGAUACCCUAGUAGUC
rnacentral:rRNA from 1 species